UGGCCUAUGGUGUAAUUGGUAACACACCGGUUUUUGGUACCGUCAUUCAAGGUUCGAGUCCUUGUAGGCCAACAA
rnacentral:tRNA from 2 species